UACGAAGGGGGCUAGCGUUGUUCGGAAUUACUGGGCGUAAAGCGUAUGCAGGUGGAUCGUUAAGUCGGGGGUGAAAUCCCGAGGCUCAACCUCGGAACUGCCUUCGAUACUGGCGAUCUUCGAGUCCGGGAGAGGUGAGUGGAACUCCGAGUGUAGAGGUGAAAUUCGUAGAUAUUCGGAAGAACACCAGUGGCGAAGGCGGCUCACUGGCCCGGUACUGACGCUGAGAUACGAAAGCGUGGGGAGCAAACAGG
rnacentral:rRNA from 1 species